rnacentral:rRNA from 1 species
UGGCUCAGGAUGAACGCUGCGCGUGCUUAACACAUGCAAGUCGAACGGACCUUUGAUGAAGCCUAGCGAUUUAAAGGUUAGUGGCGGACGGGUGAGUAACGCGUGGGUAACCUGCCUUAUACAGGGGGAUAACACUUAGAAAUAGGUGCUAAUACCGCAUAAGCGCACAGUAUCGCAUGAUACAGUGUGAAAAACUCCGGUGGUAUAAGAUGGACCCGCGUCUGAUUAGCUAGUUGGUGAGGUAACGGCUCACCAAGGCGACGAUCAGUAGCCGGCCUGAGAGGGUGAACGGCCACAUUGGGACUGAGACACGGCCCAAACUCCUACGGGAGGCAGCAGUGGGGAAUAUUGCACAAUGGGGGAAACCCUGAUGCAGCGACGCCGCGUGAGUGAAGAAGUAUUUCGGUAUGUAAAGCUCUAUCAGCAAGGAAGAAAAUGACGGUACUUGACUAAGAAGCCCCGGCUAACUACGUGCCAGCAGCCGCGGUAAUACGUAGGGGGCAAGCGUUAUCCGGAUUUACUGGGUGUAAAGGGAGCGUAGACGGCAAGGCAAGUCUGAUGUGAAAGCCCGGGGCUCAACCCCGGGACUGCAUUGGAAACUGUUUAGCUAGAGUGCAGGAGAGGUAAGUGGAAUUCCUAGUGUAGCGGUGAAAUGCGUAGAUAUUAGGAGGAACACCAGUGGCGAAGGCGGCUUACUGGACUGUAACUGACGUUGAGGCUCGAAAGCGUGGGGAUCUUCACUUAGAUACCCUGGUAGUCCACGCCGAAACGA